ensembl:misc_RNA Metazoa_SRP Metazoan signal recognition particle RNA
GCCGGGCGUGGUGGCUCACGCCUGUAAUCCCAGCACUUUGGGAGGCUGAGGCGGGCUGAUCGCCUGAGGUCAGGAGUUCAAGACCAGCCUGGCCAACAUGGUGAAACCCCAUCUCUA